AGAGUGAACGCUGGCGGCAGGCCUAACACAUGCAAGUCGAACGGCAGCACAGCAGAGCUUGCUCUGUGGGUGGCGAGUGGCGGACGGGUGAGGAAUACGUCGGAAUCUGCCUUUUUGUGGGGGAUAACGUAGGGAAACUUACGCUAAUACCGCAUACGACCUACGGGUGAAAGCGGAGGACCUUCGGGCUUCGCGCAGAAAGAUGAGCCGACGUCGGAUUAGCUAGUUGGAGGGUAAUGGCCCACCGAAGGCGACGAUCCGUAGCUGGUCUGAGAGGAUGAUCAGCCACACUGGGACUGAGACACGGCCCAGACUCCGUACGGGAGGCAGCGAGUGGGGAAUAGUUGGACAAGUGGGCGCGAAGCCUGAUCCCGAGCCAUGGCCGCGUGUGUGAAGAAGGCCGUUAGGGUUAGUAAAGCUAGUUUUGGUAACGGAAAGAAAAGCUAAAGUUACGGUUAAGUACCCGGUUGUAC
rnacentral:rRNA from 1 species